GAUGAACGCUAGCUACAGGCUUAACACAUGCAAGUCGAGGGGCAGCAUGGUCUUAGCUUGCUAAGGCCGAUGGCGACCGGCGCACGGGUGAGUAACACGUAUCCAACCUGCCGUCUACUCUUGGACAGCCUUCUGAAAGGAAGAUUAAUACAAGAUGGCAUCAUGAGUCCGCAUGUUCACAUGAUUAAAGGUAUUCCGGUAGACGAUGGGGAUGCGUUCCAUUAGAUAGUAGGCGGGGUAACGGCCCACCUAGUCUUCGAUGGAUAGGGGUUCUGAGAGGAAGGUCCCCCACAUUGGAACUGAGACACGGUCCAAACUCCUACGGGAGGCAGCAGUGAGGAAUAUUGAUCAAUGGGCGCAGGCCUGAACCAGCCAAGUAGCGUGAAGGAUGACUGCCCUAUGGGUUGUAAACUUCUUUUAUAAAGGAAUAAAGUCGGGUAUGUAUACCCGUUUGCAUGUACCUUAUGAAUAAGGAUCGGCUAACUCCGUG
rnacentral:rRNA from 1 species